GUGGGGAAUAUUGGGCAAUGGGGGAAACCCUGACCCAGCAACGCCGCGUGAAGGAAGAAGGCUUUCGGGUUGUAAACUUCUUUGACCAGGGACGAAAAAAAUGACGGUACCUGGAAAACAAGCCACGGCUAACUACGUGCCAGCAGCCGCGGUAAUACGUAGGUGGCAAGCGUUGUCCGGAUUUACUGGGUGUAAAGGGCGUGUAGGCGGGAUCGCAAGUCAGAUGUGAAUUGCGGAGGCUUAACCUCCGGGCUGCAUUUGAAACUGCGGUUCUUGAGUGAUGGAGAGGCAGGCGGAAUUCCUAGUGUAGCGGUGAAAUGCGUAGAUAUUAGGAGGAACACCAGUGGCGAAGGCGGCCUGCUGGACAUUAACUGACGCUGAGGCGCGAAAGCGUGGGGAGCAAACAGGAUUAGAUACCCCUGUAGUCC
rnacentral:rRNA from 1 species